rnacentral:lncRNA from 10 species
GCCCCUUGGAAGCCAAGAAUAUGAGGAAGUCUUCUUCCUUCGCGCCUUCUUCUUCCUUACGCUCCAGGGCAGCCUGACAGAGCCGCUCGAAGGCUCUGCUGGCCGCGGCUAGCCGGUGAGGAGGGUGGGGGGAGGGGCCGUCCCGCGUGUGGGGGAGUCUGAAGGCGACCAACGAGAGGGAGGGCCGGAGCGGGGAGGUGGCUCGGAGGCAUGUCCAGUAAAUUGGGGAUGAAAAUCCUCCCAGGAACCCGAUUAUUAAUGGGUUGAGGGAAGUGGCAGGUGCAGCGGUUGCGCAAAGACAAUGAUGCUUAGUAGCCAGGACUUCAUGGCCACAAAAUUUGUGUGUAGAGAGGGCCACAGCAGCCUGAAAACCAUUUUCGUCCCCUUUUAGGUUUACCCAUUCCACUGGACCCAGCCACCACCCACUCCUGCUGUCUGGUAAACUUUCCUCCUGUUUCUGGGGCCAUGUCUGGCAUGAAGAGUUUUUACUGAAUAGUUUUCAUUGAUCGCAGGCCAGUUCUCUCUUCUCACCCCUUUAUUGAAGUGACAGUGAAAAUCUAAGUGAGAAAGCACUGUUACAGGGGCUGAAAAGGCUACAGGAGACCAGAGCCAUUGACUUUUAUUUUUAAAAUGAAGAUCUCUUUUACUUGAAGGAACUUAAGAAUUUUGGCAUUCAAAUAGGGGCUGGAAGACUUGAAAGCAGUAGAAAUUUCACCACAGGUGAUAGGAAAGGAUGAUCACGAAAUGAAUAUCUCCUGACUUGCACACCUAGUGAGCAGAGCCAGGAAGGACCUCCUUCACCUUAGCAUUUGGAACAGGCUGCAAAGUUCAUUCUUCCUCAUAGCAGCCCCUGCAUUCAGUUUGGUUUAGUUGUUUUAUGUGGUUUCUAGCCUGAUUUUUUUUUUCAGGGUGCAGCAGAAGUCUCAGGUAGCUGAGAAGUUCAUGGAAUCUUCUUAUUUGCUACACCUUUCACUACUGCUUGUGAUAUAGUGCAGGGUUGGGAUGUGCAGACAUUUCUCAAGUGCACUGUGUACCUACACAGCAUGCUGCAAUUUGGCUACUGAAGUCAAGAGAAACUGGUUUGAACAACUACUGAGUGUAACAUAGGAAGCGCAUUUCAUUUGAUAACAGGAACACAGCUUUUGUGCUAAUAAAAUGCUUUGAAAAUUAGUGUGUGGUCUUUAGUAAUUAGCAUAUACAUUUUAGUUAUCCAUUGGUUCAUAACAAACGGACUAAAUAGGUACCCCACUGAGUCAUUUAUCUAAAUGAAAAGUUUGGUUAAAUUGUAGUUGUAGGCAUUGAUCAAAGCUAAUGGGAAAAAGAGAUUAAGAUGAAAAUCAUGGGAUUAAAUUUUUAAUUAGUUUGCCCCUUGGACCGUUGCUUGGUAUGACAUGGAGAUUGAUUGGCUACUUAUGCCUGCCUGGGAAGAUAUGGCUCUGCUACCAAACCUCUGAACGUAAGAGUGUUUUGCAAAAAAACUGAAUAUUUUAUUCAGUAAUUUUUCACUUUAUUCCUGCUUAACAAGGAAUUGAAAAGGAAGGCAAGGUCUUGGAUCUCAUAGUUCUUGGUAUAGUGAUAGAUAUAAAGUAUGAGAUGGGGGCUUCAGUGGGUUCAUUAAUAAAUAUCUCAAAUUAACAUGUCUAAGUCAAACUCUUCCUUUCCUGCCCCCAAUCUCUUCCUCUCCCAGGGCUCCUUAUGUCAACUAAUGGUGCCAUCAUUAGUGCACUCAAAGCAAAAACCUGGGAACAAUCUUGAUUCCCUCUUUCAUUCCCCACAGCUCACCCAUCAACAAAUUCGAUCCGCUUUUAUUCUAAAAUAUAUCCUAAAUCCAUUCACUGUUCUUAUCUCCACCACCCUAACCCAGGCAUCAUCAUCCUUUACCUGGUUAACUGCAAGAUCCUUUUCAUUUAACUUCCCUGCUUCUAAUCUUCUGACCCAUUUUCACCAUCCCAGUCCAUUCACCACACAGUAGCAGCCAAAAUAUUUGUUUAAAAUGUAAGUUAGAUUCUAUCACUUUUGUGUUUAGAAUUAUUGUCUUCCCCCACUAAUUACUGUGCCCUAUGUGAUCUGGACUCAAUCUGGUACCACUCCCUACCCCUUCACUCACUAUAAUCCAGACAUACUAUCUUUCUUUCUUCAACCUGCCAAGUUUUAUCCUGCCUUAGGGUCCUUGCACUAGCUGUUCCCUUUGCUGGAACCCUCUUCACCCAGUUAUUGCAGAGCUGGCCCUCUCUUGUUUAGAGCUGAAUUUCAAUGUGACCUCUUCAAAUAAGUCCUCCCUUGACCACCCAAACUCAUGUACCCCCUUGUUACUCUCUGUCACGUCAUCCUGAUUCAGUUUCACCACAACACUCAUCAUUACUGCUAUUUUCUUGUAUCUUCCUUUGUUUAUUGACUGUCUCCUCCCAUUAAUAUGUAAGCUCCCUGAAAAUAAACAUCUUGUCUAUAUUGUAUGACUGUAUCCCCAGAACUUCAAAUAGUCUGUGACAUAUGAAUGAAUGAAUGAAUGAAUGUACGAAUGGAUUCUGCUUCCCCAAAGCUGCUGCCAUCUCAUCUCAGGUACAUUGAAACAGGAAGGCUGGUAAAGGCCAGGGGGUCAAAUGCUACAUAGAGUGGAGCCUGAAGCACAAGAUGUGGGCAAAGACACAGUGGAGAGGGGCAAGAAAAGCAUUUGGGAUGGAGGGCAGAGGGUCUGGGAAGGAACAUGGAAAUGAUAUAGAACAACUCUACAGAUAUGUCCUAGACAUCUUAAGACUUGUACAAGCAUGCGUGUGCCCGCACAUACACACAUACCAGCUUGAAGAAUCUUGUCUCAGCACAUGCUCUGUACUUGAGUCUUAGAGAACACUUUUCUUGGUAGAGAUGUUUAGGCUUCAGCAUUAAGGAGUCUGAUUCAGAGGUCUAGGUAGGGCCCAUGUGUCUGUGACUGCAUAAUACUUGUAAACUGGUCUCAUUCUUGGUCAGGACAAUAAGGCUGCAGUAAAUCAUAGCAGCUGGGAGAAAGUAGUGUGGUAUCCUGCAGUGGUUCUGUUCACCACCACAUGGGCAGAGCAUGAGCAACUUUCCUUUCCUGGGCCCUCGUUCUGCUCAGAUACAAAGUGAAGGCUUACUUGGGCUCCUGUGCAACUUUAAAAGUGAAACUUAACUGAAAUUGGGCAGGUGGGCUGCACUUCUUCUAAAAAGUAAGAGGCCCACUUUUUAGAAAAUAUUAAACCUUGGAUUACACCUCAGUUUGGCAGUUACAUGACACAUUAUUUCUAAAGAGCCAUCUAAUUUUAUGCCAUCUAAUGUUUAUAUUGAUAACUGAUGAAAAUACAGGAGCUUAUUAUGCCACUGAAACUACGAUGAAGUGGCUCAAAUUUAUUCUCUCACUGUAGGUUGGAUUUGAGGGGAUAAGGAUAAGAGAGAAAAUACUAUUGGUGCUCAGGUUAAAAAAAGAAAAAGAAAAAAAUGGAGCUUAGACUUUAAUCUUUUCAUAAAUCUUCCUCAUCC